rnacentral:rRNA from 1 species
AUGGUCUGUUCCUUCCUUCAGCCAGUCCUUCCUUCAAGAUUUUUGCCUGCGGAUCUCUCUCUUCAAAACAUAUAUAUCUUUCGGCGCCAGUCUUUCCUGCCUUACCUUAACCCCGCUUUCACGUGGCGAAUCGGUAUGCGGUUUUAG